rnacentral:lncRNA from 1 species
GCCUCUUCCUGCUAAAAUGACUGGUUCAUGUUUUAGGAAAAUAAAACUAGCGCAAAGGUUAAAUAAACACCAUGAAGGAAGAACACAAUGGACAACCACAUUCAAUCAAGCAAAGAAGUACACAGGUAUUUAAGAUACAGUCACUUGAACUACAUGUACAUACCUGUCUGAGAUACCCUUUAAUUAUCAAAAAAAUGCUGCUUAUUACUGACUAUAUUCAAAAAGUUGAUGGUGAGAAAUAAAGACUGUUGUGCGUUACAACAUUUCUCAUUGGAGAAAUAUUUGUGGCGAAGAGUGGUUUUAAUGCAAGUUAGGACUUGCGUCAGAAUUUGUUAGCAUGAAAUUUCUUGAUAUAAUGAUGUGCCUUUGCAACAAUAACUUUUUGUCUUUGUAUCUUUACAUCGUGAACGAGAGUAAAGAAUGGAUCAAAUUGCAAAAAAAAACCAUACCGCUCAGUUACUAGAGCAGUCAAGUCUUGUGAAUUCUGAGAAGAGUUGCGACAGUGUUUCAGUUGAAUCAACAUAGUGUCUUUUGUAGCAUGACUACUUACCAGCAAAAUAAAUAAAUAAAUAAAUAAAUUGGCAAUACUGAA